AAUGUCUGGGAAACUGCCUGAUGGAGGGGGAUAACUACUGGAAACGGUAGCUAAUACCGCAUAACGUCUUCGGACCAAAGUGGGGGACCUUCGGGCCUCACGCCAUCAGAUGUGCCCAGAUGGGAUUAGCUAGUAGGUGGGGUAAUGGCUCACCUAGGCGACGAUCCCUAGCUGGUCUGAGAGGAUGACCAGCCACACUGGAACUGAGACACGGUCCAGACUCCUACGGGAGGCAGCAGUGGGGAAUAUUGCACAAUGGGCGCAAGCCUGAUGCAGCCAUGCCGCGUGUGUGAAGAAGGCCUUCGGGUUGUAAAGCACUUUCAGCGAGGAGGAAGGGUGGUGUGUUAAUAGCGCAUCACAUUGACGUUACUCGCAGAAGAAGCACCGGCUAACUCCGUGCCAGCAGCCGCGGUAAUACGGAGGGUGCAAGCGUUAAUCGGAAUUACUGGGCGUAAAGCGCACGCAGGCGGUUUGUUAAGUCAGAUGUGAAAUCCCCGCGCUUAACGUGGGAACUGCAUUUGAAACUGGCAAGCUAGAGUCUUGUAGAGGGGGGUAGAAUUCCAGGUGUAGCGGUGAAAUGCGUAGAGAUCUGGAGGAAUACCGGUGGCGA
rnacentral:rRNA from 1 species